UUUUGAUGAGGUCUCACUCUGUCACCCAGGCUGGAGUGCAGUGGUGUGAUCUUGGCUCACUGUAACCUCCACUUCCCAGGUUCAAGUGAUUCUCCUGUCUCAGCCUCCCCUAGUAGCUGGGAUUACAGGCAUGCACCACCACACCCAACUAAUUGUUGCAUUUUUAAAGUAGAGAUGGGGUUUGGUUCCACCAUGUUGGUCAGGCUGGUCUCGAACUCCUGACCUCAAGUGAUCCACCCACCUUGGCCUCCCAAAGUGCUGGGAUUACAGGCAUGAGCUGCUAUACUUGGUCUUAAUGCUGUAUUCUAUUCUUAAUAGAAAUGUGUACAAAACAGGGAAAUAUCUUGCUCAGUCAUUAAAAGAGAUGUUUGUAAAACCAGAGAGAGAGGGAGAGGGAGAGGGGGAGGGGGAGGGGGAGGGGGAGGGAGGCUCCUUUUCAUCUUAUCAUGCAAUCUCCCCAAAGUUUGUCUUUGUUUGACUGGUCCUAUUUUUUGCGGUUCUUAUAUUUAAGUUAGGUGGUGUCCUGUCUUAGUUUGUGAUCCCUGCAAAGCAGAGCCUGAGAGGAGGGCUUGGAUAUAGGAGGUGUGGUUGGAAGGAGAUGCAGGAAGCAAGAGUGAGGGAGAGGGGAGAUGAAGAAGGAAAGCAGGCCACCACCCUAUGGGGGCAUGUGUAGCUGGUUAUCACCGGGGGAAACUGGGGCUCUAUCCUGCAAGACAUCCUCUGAGGAGCCUUGCAGAAUGUGCCUCAGAAUUGCCCCCCUGAGGGAUGGGCCAUCCCUGGGGCUGUGAAUGCCUUGAACUUGUUGGCUGCACCUGGUGGAGAACUGAACUGCUUCUGCAUCUUUGGAGAAGACCCUAAGGCAGAGAAGUGGAGCAGUUUUCUGGCUGCUUUUGCCAUGAGAAUUAGUAGUAGCCUGUGUGGAACUGUGUGCCAUGGCGAUGCAGAGAUCAGAGGUGGUUCUCGGGGGUGAAAUGCAGACAGUCUCCCAUUAGGCAUCUGUGCUGAGGGUGUUAGCAGGCUCAGUGUGGAAUCAUGGUUGGAAAAAGUGGGCUGUGGGGGCAGACUGCCUGGGUUCGAAUGUCAGCACUGCUCCAUGCUGCUGGAGUGCCUCUCUGAAUUUCCGUGUCCUUAUCUGUGCAUUGAGAACGACCACAGUGCCUCCAUCCUAGAAUGAAUAUUGGUUGGAGUAAGACACAGGAAGCAGCUGGGCAUGGUGGCUCACACCUGUAGUCCCAGCACUUUGGGAGGCCAAGGAGGGUGGAUCACGAGGUCAGGUGUUCCAGACCAGCCUGACCAACAAGGUGAAAGCCUGUCUCUACUAAAACUACAAAAUUUAGCUGGGCAUAGUGGCAUGUGCCUGUAAUCCCAGCUACUGGGGCAGCUAAGGCAGGAGAAUCACUUGAACCUGGGAGGCGGAGGUUGCAGUGAGCUGAGACUGCGCCACUAUACUCCAUACUGGGCAACAGAGUGAGACUCCAUCUCAAAAUAAAAAAAGACAUAGGAAGCUCUCAGCACAGCCAGAAGCACAAAGGUGCUGGGUGAGCCUUCCCUGGUGUCCCUGUUGUCAAGACACGGGCUUUGCAUUCUGAUAACUUGCUGGUGGGAGAAUGGGGCAGAGGUGGAUAUUCUUUCCUGGGAAUCCAGGAAAGUUAGGAAAUGAAGGAGAGGACAUAAAAGGCAAUUGCAGGCCCAUCCACGUGACCCAGGAAGGAUUUACCAUUUCAGGGACUUACCCCUAGCUCACGUUACUGAUUUGCUUGGAGCAUGGGGUACCCUCUCUGGGGCCCCUCUUCCUCUUCCUCCCUAAGUCUUCACCCAUCCUCCCCUGCCCCAGAGCAGUGCCUCCACCAAUUCUCCUCGUUAACCGUAAACACAAAUCCUGUUAUCUUCCUCUCUCGCAGCACUUGCCCUUUGAUUUAAGCCACCUUCCCUUCCCCUUUCAUCAGCCCUGGGCCCCUCCUGUCGUACAUCUUCUCGUUUAUCUCCUUUCACGAGCUCUCCAGCUUGCCCUGCACCGAUCAAUGCAUGUGGGGAGAUAGGCGGCCUGCCAGGCCUCCGGAGCCCGCUCUUCUUCUGGGGAGCCCGGACCAGUAUUUCUUGUUAAGCUUCUGUCUGGCUGUGUUCGGUUUCUCAUUAGCUUUCUGCCGGGACGCAGUAGUAUUUCUUGCUCCUCAGCUGCACCGCCUGGAAUGCCUAGUAAUUCUUAAAUGGUGAGGUGGAGAGGUGCAUCUUUAGAGCACUCUGGGUUCCAUCUGGCUGUGGCUUGGAAAGGGGGAGCAUGAGGAAGUGGCCCUUGCUUGUCACAGGUGGGUGAGCCUUGGCGGGUCCCUCAGUCACACCGUGCCUUUGCUCAGCACUAUGGGUUAGCUCCUGUAUCUGUGGCUGUCAUUGCCACCUUAUGUCAAUUUUGUAUCCUAGUCAUUGAAUUGACUUUGACCUGGGCUCCCCAGAGCCAGCUUCCUCCCCAUUUUGUCGCUGGGAAGACUCAGAUGUGGGCCUGACUCACGUUCCUCACCUGCAAAAUGAGGUGUACGCUCUCUUUUUCUCUUACCUUAUCCCUUUUAUUUAUUUAACAAACACAAAACGUGUAAAUAGUGUUCAUUAUGUGCCAGAUAGUCUUCUGAGAACUUGACAGACAUGAACACAUUUAAAUUCUCCUAGUCACCCUGUGAUACAGAUACAGCCAUCGUCUCUGUUUUACAAAUGAGAUACUGUGGCACAGAGAAGCUAAGCAACUCACCGAAGGCGGCGCAGCUGGUAAAUGGAAGAGCCGGGAUUUGAACCCAGGCGCAUCACAACUUUCUUAUGCUUUGGAACACGAAACACCCCUUCAACACCGUGCCCCUUUAAAGAGCAAAACCACCAAAAGCAAGAACACACCGAAACGUGAAAGAGACGGAACUAAAUAGGCUGUGAAAAGGACCAGUUAACAGUAUGAGAGCUGAAAUAAGAGAGCCUUGCCCAGCCAGAGCUGAAAACACAUGUGUCAGCGACUUGCCUGUUUCACUACCCUGCCAGUGCUCAUGAAAGGGUUGUGGGUAUUGAUUUGGGGUUUAGCAAUAAAUUUGACCAAGUAGGUGAAUUUGCAAAAACAGAACCCCUGAAUAAUGAUGAAAUACUCUAUCUUGCUUGAGUAUUUCCCUGGUCAAACGCCUUCCGAGGCUCUCUCCUGCCUAUUAUAUUAACUAUAAACUUCACCUGUCUGCGCUCCAAAGGCUUUGCAAUCUUACCCCACUCCAUCUAUUAAAACUUAUUUCUGGCUGGCUGCAGUGGCUCACACCUAUAAUCCCAGCACUUUGGGAGGCUGAGGCGGGAAGAUUGCUGGAGCCCAGGAGUUUGAGACCAGCCUGGGCAACAUAGCAAGACCCUGUCUCUACAAAAAAUAAAAAUUAGCUGGGCAUGGUGGAGUGGGCUGGGCUGGUAGUCCCAGCUACUAGGGAGGCUGAGGUGGGAGGAUCACUUGAGCCCAGAAGUUUGAGGCUAUAGUGAACUAUGAUUGUGCCUAGCACUCUAGCCUGGGCGACAGAGUGAGACUCUGUCUCAAACAAAACCAAACCAACCCCCCUCAUUUUCCAUUAGUCCUGAAAGGGCCAUUUCCUUUUCCUGUGGGUUGGCUGCUCUUCUUCCUCACUAUUCUGCCAACCACCAGCUCCAUCUUGGUCGUAUCUGGAAGUCUUUGCUUCUACUGUUUCUUCCCAGGUAUGCCCUCCCUUCCCUCACUUAUCUACCAAGUCCUAUAGUUUCAAGGUUGAUCAAAGUUCUUAUUCAUUUCUAAUUUUUCGAAAUGAAUCAUUAGUAUUUCCUUUAAGAGACAGACUCUCGCACUGUUGCCCAGGCUGGAAUGCCGCGGCGAUUCACAAGUGCCAUCAUGGCUCGUUGCAGCCUCAACCCCUGACCUCGAGUGAUCCUCCGGCCUCAGCCCCCGAGUAGCUGGGACUACAGAUGUGCACCACUGUGCCUAGUUUAAAGUUCUUUGUGCAGCUGAUUUAUCCCUUCUUGGAUGCUGUAGGCUCAAAUCAUCGUGGGGGUUAAUGUUUUAAAAAAUACCUUUUUGUGAUUCUCUGACAGACAGCCCAUGUGGGAGGAAUUUUCCAGAGACCACUGUCUCAUGACCCUGUCUGGAACUGGAGCCAUCCGAGUUACACUGACCCCCUUGAAUUGGGAUAUUGAGGAGGUUAUGGUUCAAAGCGUAUGAUGGGAGACCAUGUGUACAUCAUAUUGUGAGUGAGACUGGCUGGAGGAGUGUUUUAAUUCUUCAGAAAUACCAGCUGGCCUCUGAGUAUUCCUCCCGGCCCUUUGGGAUGCUGACGGAGGAGCAGAUAUACGGCACCUCUGCCAUGAUAUAAGGCUGCUGCGGUGCACAGCUGCCCCCAAGAAGCUACCGCAGGGGUGUAAAACUUCUCUCUGCAUUGUCAGCGCUGCUUUCCGUGGAUGUCUGCUGGCUUUUCCAAAAAUCCUUAUGGAACAGUGGUUCUCAAGUGGUCAUUUUGUCCCCCUCGUCCCAGGGGACCUUUGGCAAUAUCUUGAGAUGUUUUUGUGAUUGAGCAGGGGCUACAGCAUGUGCUGGACAGAGGUCAGGGAUGCCGCCCAACACCCUGCAAUGUACAGGACAGUCUUCUCUACCACAGUGAAUGUACAGGACAGUCUUCUCUACCACAGUGAAUGUACAGGACAGUCCUCUCUACCACAGUGAAUGUACAGGACAGUCCUCUCUACCACAGUGAAUGUACAGGACAGUCCUCUCUACCACAGUGAAUUAUCCAGUCCACAAUCUCCACAGCACCAAUACUGAGAAACCCUCUUAAGAUGGAGCCUAUCCAUGGGGCAUUUGGAGUCUCCCGCUUCCUGAAUACUUGAAUUCCCUCUGCAGAUCUUGGAUGCCUCCAGUAAUGGGGAGCUCACCACCUGUUUUGAAGCCAGGCAGAUCCAGGCUCUUCUCGUAUCUGUGUGACUCUAGACUUUCCCACCGGUGGGAGCGGCCCCACCAUCCUGAGCAUGUUUCCUCCAGUGCCGUGGGAUUAGCAGCAGCCCUGCCUCACAGAUGUGUGAGGAUGAAAUGAGAGGAUGCACCUGAGUUGGCUGGUGCAGCGCAUGCUACAGGUACGCAGAGAGUGCUCCGUAAAGCUUCCCUGCUGAAUGCCCUGUCCUGGUCCAUUUGCCUACCUUGUGGAGCACGUGAACUGCAGGAUUUCUUUUGUCUCCAAAUUUUUAGGAUUCUAGAGAGAUGAGGUGCUGAGUGAAGAGUGACAUGUAGGUCUUUGAGGGGACUUUCCCCUUUGGGGUUGUUUCCCUAUAAUGUUGGCUCAUGGACGUUUUGGGUGCAUCAUCUCUGCAGGUGUUGGAAGGAGACCUUCUAGCACGGUUUUAUGAUAAUCUGUGAAGGGACAAUCAGAAUUUCUAAAGAAGGAAGUGGUGGGGUGUCUGUUAAGUUGGGAAGCUGAUGGCGCUGAGGGGCCACCGUUCACUGCAUUUCAUUGAGGGGCAACUCUACUUGGCUGUCAAAGGGUGGGCUUGGGACCCAGCAGGGCCUAGCUUGGGAGAUUGGAGUUGGUGGGAUGGGAGGGGGGGGAAUGGGUAUUCCAGAUGUGCCCCAGCAUCUGGGGCCAGAGAGCCCUGUCCCCCUGGAGGAAUUGCUUAGCAUUCUCUAUGUGUUCCCCCAAAUGCAUGACUCUGGAGAGAUAUAUAGGGCUUGGAAGGAAGUAUGUGCGUGGCUCAGGCCCAGGUCCAUGGACUUUGAGAAAUGAUGCUUUUCUUCAUUCUCAUCAUUGCUUUAAGCUCUCCUUCUGCUCAGGCUCCAUGCUCAUUUUUCUCAUCUGGCUCUAUGUUAUCUCAUUAGGGGAAGAAAAGAUUAAGACCCAGAGAGGUGAUGCCCCUUUCUGAGGUCACACGAAUGAGAAGAGGCAUGGCUGGGACUCGUUUCAGGUGACCAUCUUCAGAGCAUGCUCCUGAGUCUCCUGCUCUGCUGUGCUGGCUUCUGUAGAGCCUGCCUGUGGCUUGGGUAUCAGCAUGCACCCCGGUCCUCCUCCAUCCAUUUCCCCUCAGCUUAGGAUCCUCCAAAUCUAUGCAAGAAAGCAGCUGUUGACAACAUUGAAUCUCGCCUGGAGAUUGAUAGUGAUAAUUUGUGGCCUCACCAAGGUGGGGAGCGCUAUUAUUCAAAGUACAUAUAAAGUCAGGAAUGUAAGAUAGAAGGCAAUGUGAUCAAGGGCAUGGCGCCUGUGGAGCAGAAGGCGGGGAUGGACAGGCCAGGGGGCCCAAACCUGUGGAAAGCAGUUACUCAACACUUCCCACCUACCUGCUAUUCCCUAGGACAGGGGCCUGCUGGUUUUUGAGGAACCAGAUGGAAGAAUGCGGGAAGUGUAGGUUUAUGGGGAGGAUGUGUUCCCUGAGGAGACAAGAAAAAUGAGAGAUGAGAGAGAGAAUCCAGGAAGAAAUGCAAGAAGGGGAGUGAAGAUGGGAGGGUAAGGGUGGAAAAGAACAGAGAGAAGAGGCGACAAAUAAGGGUGCUCCUGACUGCACUGAGCUCCUGUUAUUGGGAUGGGUGCUGUGCUAAACGCUCUUGCAUGCGUUACUUCCCGUCCUUCGGAAGAUAUGAUAAUGCAGGUUUGUUUAUUCCCAUUCUACAGAUCAGAACACAGAUUCAAGUGAGUUUCCCCAAACUGGAGAACUAGCCAGUAACCAAAGCUGUGAUUCAAAUCUGAGAUCACCUCACCAGGGGAGAGAUUUGUGUUUUUCCCCAUGUGUCCUAGCCUGUUUGAGCUGCUAUCAGAGAAUACCUGAGACUGAGUAAUUUACAUGCAAAAAUUUAUUGCUCACAGCUCUGGAGGCUGGGCAGUGCAAAGGCAAGAGAUUCUGAUUCCGGGGAUGGUGCCUGGAAUGCUGCAUCCUCCAAAGGUGAGGGGGAAACACUUUAUCUUCACAUGGCAGAAGGCAUAAAAGAGGCAAAAGGGGGCCAAACUUGUCCUUUAUAAUGGCAUCAAUCCCACUCUUGAGGGUUCUGCCAUUCACCUCCCAGAGAUUCCGUCUCUCACUACCGUUCCAAUAGCAGUCUAAUUUCAACAGGCGUUUUGGAGGAGACACACAUUCAGACCAUAGUGCCGCUGGAAGUUUUUCUUGUAGGGUGUGUUUGAAGGAGAUAGGAUGCGGGGGUGAAUGGGCCCAGGUUCAAGUUCCACCCCUGCCUUGUUUGCACUCACUGGGCAGGAAUGGAGCCAAUGAGGCUCUCAAUGGAACCAGUAAAGCGGGUCCCUGGGAGGUGGCUCCCUGCCUCUUGUGUGCUAGGGUAACCUUGGACCUAUUCCGUCACGCACGUAAGCCUUAUGUUCUUCAUCUAACCGUUGAGACACGGGAUCGUUUCCAGAUGAGAAUCCACGAGUGCCUCACUGACUCGCGCAGUCCUUCUGAGAUUGUUAAGCAGAUGACUUCCAUCGGUAUUGAGCCAGGAGUUGAGGUAGGAGUCACCAUUGCAGGUAUUUAAGUCAACUAUUUUAAUACAUUGAUUACCAGAUGUAAAAAAAGAAAAAGAAAUAGUAGCAAGAUAAACCUGCACGAGAUGGUUGUGAGGAUGGAGUCAACUGAUCCUCAGGAAAGUGGUGUCUACAUUUUUUUUUUUUUAACAAUGCUCUACUAUAUAUAUAUUUUUUUUUUUUUUAUUGCAUUUUAGGUUUUGGGGUACAUGUACAGAACAUGCAAGAUAGUUGCACAGGUACACACGUGGCAGUGUGAUUUGCUGUCUUCCUCCCCUUCACCCACAUCUGGCAUUUCUCCCCAUGCUAUCCCUCCCCAGCUCCCCCCUCCACUGUCCCUCCCCUAUUCCCCCCAAUAGACCCCAGUGUGUAGUGCUCCCCUCCCUGUGUCCGUGUGUUCUCAUUGUUCAUCACCCGCCUAUGAGUGAGAAUAUGUGGUAUUUCAUUUUCUGUUCUUGUGUCAGUUUGCUGAGAAUGUUGUUCCCCAGAUCCAUCCAUAUCCCUACAAAGGACAGGAACUCAUCGUUUUUGAUGGCUGCAUAAUAUUCCAUGGUGUAUAUGUGCCACAUUUUUCCAGUCCAGUCUAUCAUCGAUGGGCAUUUGGGUUGGUUUCAGGUCUUUGCUAUUGUAAACAGUGCUGCAAUGAACAUUCGUGUACAUGUGUCCUUAUAGUCGAACGAUUUAUAGUCCUUUGGAUAUAUACCCAGUAAUGGGAUUGCUGGGUCAAAUGGAAUUUCUAUUUCUAGUUCUUUGAGGAAUCGCCACACUGUCUUCCACAAUGGUUGAACUAAUUUACACUCCCACCAGCAGUGUAAAAGUGUUCCUAUUUCUCCACAUCCUCUCCAGCAUCUGUUGUCUCCAGAUUUUUUAAUGAUCGCCAUUCUAACUGGUGUGAGAUACAUUUUAAAGUGUUGUGCUUGUGCAAGGGUUUCUAUCGAUCAUCACUGUUUCUGGUUUCUAGAACCUGGGUUUUCACCGGGCUCCCCUAGGGACAACAUCAAGCUGGUAACAUGUUACCCUGCAGGUAGCAGCGCUGUAUCUGGAGCCCGCUCUCCAUUUCCACCAGCCGGAGUUGCUACUCACUGUAGCAAACAUGUGUUUCUUUCCACGGUGAGAGCCUCUGGUGUCCCCUGCUGGGCCACUGUUCUUAUGUGCAGUCAUCCCAGACCUGUUUUCUGCCCUUCUGGAUCUGCAGGCCUGCAUGACUCCCCUAGGUUGCCUUUUCAACGUUGUGUGAUUUUUAUAUUUACUGCUCUCGAUAUAGUUAAUUCUGCAUGAGACUGUAGGGCCCCAUAUCCCGGCUGUUGUACAUCUUCUAAAUAGGUGGCCAUGGUAAAGAGCUUACAUGGUUUCUUCACUCACUCACCAUUAACUGAUUCAUUUAUUUAUCUCUGUGGUUAUUUGUGCCUCUAUCCAUCCAAUGGCUAUCUUAUUUAUUCCAACAAUAUUCAACAGACUUUUUAGUCAGCAUUUACUAUGCACAGUUGCUGAAAAUAUAAAUACAAUAACUGCGUUUUUCUUUCUUUCUUUUUUUUUUUCUUUGAAACUGAGUUUCGCUCUUGUUACCCAGGCUGGAGUGCAAUGGUGCGAUCUUGGCUCACCGCAACCUCCGCCUCCUGGGUUCAGGCAAUUCUCCUGCCUCAGCCUCCUGAGUAGCUGGGACUACAGGCACGCGCCACCAUGCCCAGCUAAUUUUUUGGUAUUUUUAGUAGAGACGGGGUUUCACCAUGUUGACCAGGAUGGUCUCGAUCUCUUGACCUCGUGAUCCACCUGCCUCGGCCUCCCAAAGUGCUGGGAUUACAGGCGUGAGCCACCGUGCCUGGCCAAUAACUGCCUUUUUCUUUUGAGUCAGGGUCUCGCUCUGUCACCCAGGCUGGAGUGCAGUGGCUUACUUAUUUUUGGCUUAAUUAUGGCUUACUGCAGGCUGGGACUCCCAGGCUCAAGCAGCCCUCCCACCUCAGCCUCCCAAGUAGUCAGGAUUAGCGACAAAUCUCUAUACUCGGCUAUUUUUGUUUGUCUUUUGUAGAGACAGGGUCUUUCUAUGUUGCCCAGGAUUGUCUUGAAUACCUAACCACCAUUUUAAAAAUGGAGUAAAAUACAUAUAACAGGAGUGCCACCUUUUUAACCGUUUUUAAGCGCACAAUAUAGUGGCUUCAAUUACAUUCACGAUGUUGUGCAACCCUCACCACUGCCUAUUUCCAAACUUUUUCUUCACCCCAAACAGAAAUUCUGUACCCAUGAAGCAAUAAUUCCCCAUCUCUCUUACCCUUUAGUCCCUGGUAACGUCUAAUUUACAUUCUAUCUCUGGAAAUUUGCCUAUUCUAGAUAUUUCAUAUAAGUGGAAUCAUACAGUAUUUAUCUUUAGGGUCUGGCUUAUUUCACUGAGCAUAGUAUUUUCAAGGUUCAAUCAUGAUGUAGCAUAUACCAGGACACUGUUCUUUUUAUAUCAUAUGGAUAUACUGCAUUUUACUUACCCAUUUAUCUGUCAAUGGACACUUGGGUAGUUUCCACAUUUUAGCUAUUAUGCAUAAUACUGCUAUGAACAUUUGUGUACAAGUAUCUGUUUGAGUGACUGUUUCCAAUUCUUCUGUGUAUAUACCUAGAAGUGGACAUUCUGGGUCACUUCAUAGUGUAAAUCUAUGUUGACAUUUUCAGAGAACCAAUAGCUGCCAUUUGUCAGCACUUAUGAUGAGUCAGACAUUGAGUUUUAGGCUUUAUUCAUAAUGUAAUCUAAUCUUAUGAUAGCCCCUCCAGGAACUUAUCAUUAUCCCUCAGAUGAAAACACUGAGCUGAAGAGAGUGCAUCAGUCAGCUAUUGCCAAGUAACAAACCAUCCCCAAAUCCAGUGGUUCCCAGCAGCUAUCACUUACUCUUGCUCACACACUUGCAGGCUGGCUCACGGCUGGUUUAUCAAGGCUGACUUCUUCAUGAGAAGCUCAGCUGUGGCAGGUCAGCUCCACAUGCUUCUGAACCUUCUGGGAGCAGAAGGCUGGCCUGAGAAUAUUCUUUUUAAGGUAGGAGUGCAGGAGAAUGGACUGAAGUCUGGAAGACAUCUUUUGAAACAGGCAUCCUCUUACUUCCUCCUCAUUCUAUUGUCUAAAGCAAGUCAUGCCCACACCCAAAGUCAGAGGGCAGGGAAAUAGAGUCUGCUCCUUUAGCGGGAUAAAGUGCAAAGUCACAGGGCAAAGAACACAGGCAAAGGAGGGAAGAAAGAGCUGGGGCCAGUAAUGUGAUGAUCGAACACAGGGACAUUCAUGCUUCUCCUAAGGUCAGAAUGUGUGUGGGGUGGGGCCAGAAUUCAACAUGAAGCUACUGGGCUCCAACUCCCGAGCUGUUCUGGUUUUAUCUCUUUGCCUUACAAAGACAAAACACUGAAGAUUCUGCUCUGAGGGCCCUGAUUGAUGUCUGGAAGGCAGAGACUCCUGGAUUAGCAAGCAUGUGUAAGAAAGUGCUCUGGAUGCCACGGGUGGUAAUUUGUGCAUGGAAAAUGGCUGGGGUGAAGAGGAGGGUAGGGUAAGUUCCACCUGAGGAUGGAGAGCGUGGAAGAAAAUUUUCCUAGGGGACUGCUCUUUCAGUGGAAUCUUGAAAGUUGGGGGAAGGGAAGGAAAUGGUGUGCUGGGCUGAGGGAGCAGAGGGACAAAGGCCCGAAGGUUCAUAAGGUGACGUGAGCUCAGGGGUUUACCUGCAGUUCAGUAAUACUGAAACAGAAUUUCCAGAGGUGGGGUGAGGGUGUAGAAGUGUGAGAAGUGUCAGUAGUUUUGAAGGGGCGUAGAAAGGGAUAUCCAGAAAAUAACUUCAGAACUUUGUACCGAUGAGGAAACAGAGGUUCAGAAGGGUGAGGGAUGAGCCAACAGCCUCAAGGAAACUGCUGAGUAUGUGGACUUGUGCCCCGUCUCCUAGGGGAGAAGCUCUUUGGAUGACCUAUUAAUAGUAUGAGAUGUGUGUGUGUUAGUGCAUUUUGCAUUGCUAUAAAGGAAUACCCAAGGCCGGUAAUUUAUGAAUAAAAGAGGUUUAUUUUGGCUUACACUUCUGCAGGCUAUACAGGAGGCCUGGCACCAGCAUCUGCCCCUGGGGAGGGCCUCUGGAAGCUUCCAAUCCUGGCAGAAGGAGAAGGAGGAGCAGGCAUGUCACAAGAUGGAGCAAGAGAGAGUUGGAAGGAGGUGCCAGCCUCUUUUAAAACAAACAGAAUUUGUGGUAACUCAUGAUCAUGGGGAGGGCACUAAGCCAUUCACAAGGCUUCCACCCCCAUGACCCAAAAACACCUUCCACCAGCCCCACCUCCAACAUUGGGGAUUACAUUUCAACUUGAGGUUUUUGGGGGACAAAUAUCCAAACUAUAUCAAGGUGCAUGAUGCAUACCAAGGGAAACAGUGCCCAAGGGGGGAUGGCUUGGGUACUUGGUGGGCAUGGGAUGGAGGAUUUGGAGGCUCAGAUGGGAGAGCAAAAGGAAGAACGUGAGACUGAGUGUCUCAGUUCAUUUUCUGCUGCUGUAACAGAAUUCCCGAAACUGAGCAAUUUGUGAAGAACAGAAAUGUAUCCUUUUACAGUUCCAGAGGCUGGGAAGUCCAAGAUCAAUAUGCUGGUGACUGGCGUGGUCCUUCUUACUGCAUCUUCACAUGGCAGAAGGUGGAAGGGCAGGAGGGGGUGAACUCCGUGUCCUCACACGGCACAAGAGCAGAUGAGAGUGAAUCCACUCUUGCAAGCCCUUUUUAUAAUGGCAUUAAUGUAUUCAUGAGGAUAGAGCCCCACCUCCCAAAACUGCUGCACUCGGGAUUAGGUUUCAACAUGAUUUCGGAGAAGACAAAACAUUCACAUCAUAGCAGUGAGUGUGGGACGCAAGCUGGGUCCCUCACUGUGUUAGGGGCCUGGCCAGACCAGCUUUGGCUACAAAUUCCCUGCUGCAAAACAUGAGCUCUCAAAUGGAAAAGAAAUGAAGAUAUAAAUGUUUUAUUGCGUUUUAGGUUUUGGGGUUAAAAAAAAAAGAAAUGAAGAUAGCUUCUCCCUCGUCACAUGCAACAAAAAGGUAGCUUUAUUUUAUCUGGGAAGAGCACAGAGCCACUGAAGGAUUUUGAACAAUGCAGUGAUGGAGGUGGGUUUUGAAGGUCACUUUGGGACUGGGGCAUGAGGCAGCAAUACAGCAGAAUGUCACCAAGUGGGGUCCGAGCUGAUUCCGUUGGCUUAGAGUGAAGGGCUCUAAUCCUGCCAGGGGCUGGUGUCACAAAGUUGUGCCACAUGUGACAAAGGACAUGCUCCCUGAGCCACGCUCGGGGCUCUGUAGGUUCAGUGCUUAGGGUCAAUCACUCAUCCCACAAAUGUUUACUGAGUACCUACUAUGUGCCAGGCACUGCACUAUAACCCAAGGUGGACAUAGCCAUAAAUAGGCAAACAAAUCUGUUCCAUUAUGGGGCUUACAGCUCCCUUGACUGCUGGCCCAUUCUGUCUCAGACUGUACUUGGCACACAGUUGAAGGAGAAGGGCACCAGACCACCAGGUUACCUGUCAUCAUCCUGGCCUUGAAUAUCAGGACCUGAAGGGACCUUUAUUUUUAUUUUUUAAUUUAUUUUUUUGAGACAGAAUCUUGCUCUGUCUCCCAGGCUGGAACACAGAGGCAUGAUCUUAGCUCAUGGCAACCUCUGCCUCCCGGGUUCAAGCCAUUCUCCUGCCUCAGCUUCCUGAGUAGCUGGGUCUACAGGCAGGCAUGCACCACCAUGUCUAGGUAAUUUUUGUAUUUUUAUAGAGACAGGGUUUCACCAUGUUGGCCAGGCUGGUCUUGAACUUUUGACCUCAGGUGAUGUGCCUGCUUUGGCCUCCCAGAGUACUGGAAUUACAGGUGUGAACCACCGUGCACGGCCAGAAGGGACCUUUAAACCCCUAGAGUACACACAGGUCUUUGUAGCUGGGAAAACUGAAGCCCAGAGAGACCAAAUAGCUUGUUCUAGGGCACAGAGCAUUAGAGGUAGAAUGGGAAGCAGAGCUCUUUCCACCAUCCAGUCUUUUAAUAUAGUUUUGUUUGUUUUCGCUAAUAAUUAUUGAGUGUCCACUGUGUGUGAGACCUUGGAGACACAGAUAUGGAUGAGUUACAAGGAGUCCCCUGUGCCCUUGAAGCCUUGCCAUCUAAUCUAGUGUUGUUCAGUUUAACUUGCUGGGUGAUAGAAUCAUUCCCUGUGGUACCAACAAACCACUUAUGACUGCUGUGAUUGAAAUGUGCCUGGUGCAACUGAGGCACAUUAUCUCAUUUAAAUUAACUUUAUCUCAUUUAUAUAUUUUUAUUGCAUUUUAGGUUUUGGGGUACAUGUGCAGAACGUGCAAGAUAGUUGCAUAGGUACACACAUGGCAGUGUGUUUUGCUGCCUUCCGCCCCUUCACCCACAUUAGGCAUUUCUCCCCAGGCUAUCCCUCCCCAGCUCCCCCCCGGCUGUCCCUCCCCUAUUCCCCCAACAGACCCCAGUGUGUAGUACCCCCUUCCCUGUGUCCAUGUGUUCUCAUUUUUCCUCACCAGCCUAUGAGUCAGAAUAUGUGGUAUUUCAUUUUCUGUUCUUGUGUCAGUUUGCUGAGGAUGAUGUUCUCCAGAUUCAUCCAUGUCCCUACAAAGGACAUGAACUCAUCAUUUUUGAUUGCUGCAUAAUAUUCCAUGGUGUAUAUGUGCCACAUUUUCCCAGUCCAGUCUAUAAUCGAUGGGCAUUUGGGUUGGUUCCAGGUCUUUGCUAUUGUAAACAGUGCUGCAAUGAACAUUCGUGUGCAUGUGUCCUUAUAGUAGAACGAUUUAUAGUCCUUUGGAUAUAUACCCAGUAAUGGGAUUGCUGGGUCAAAUGGAAUUUCUAUUUCUAAGGCCUUGAGGAAUCGCCACACUGUCUUCCACAAUGGUCGAACUAAUUUACACUCCCACCAGCAGUGUAAAAGUGUUCCUAUUUCUCCACAUCCUCUCCAGCAUCUGUUGUCUCCAGAUUUUUUAAUGAUCACCAUUCUAACUGGCAUGAGAUGGUAUCUCAAUGUGGUUUUGAUUUGCAUCUCUCUAAUGAGCAGUGAUGAUGAGCAUUUUUUCAUAUGUUUGUUGGCCUCAUGUAUGUCUUCUUUUGUAAAGUGUCUGUUCAUAUCCUUUGCCCAUUUUUGAAUGGGCUUGUUUGUUUUUUUUCCUGUAAAUCUGUUUGAGUUCUUUGUAAAUUCUGGAUAUCAGCCCUUUGUCAGAUGGGUAAACUGCAAAAAUUUUUACCCAUUCUGUUGGUUGCCGAUUCACUCUAGUGACUGUUUCUUUUGCCGUGCAGAAGCUGUGGAGUUUGAUUAGGUCCCAUUUGUCUAUUUUGGCAUUUGUUGCCAAUGCUUUUGGUGUUUUGGUCAUGAAGUCCUUGCCUACUCCUUUGUCCUGAAUGGUUUUGCCUAGAUUUUCUUCUAGGGUUUUUAUGGUGCCAGGUCUUAUGUUUAAGUCUUUAAUCCAUCUGGAGUUGAUUUUAGUGUAAGGUGUCAGGAAGGGUUCCAGUUUCUGCUUUCUGCACAUGGCUAGCCAGUUUUCCCAACACCAUUUAUUAAACAGGGAAUCCUUUUCCCAUUGCUUGUUUUUGUCAGGUUUAUCAAAGAUCGUAUGGUUGUAGAUAUGUCGUGUUGCCUCCGAUGCCUCUGUUCUGUUCCAUCGGUCUAUAUCUCUGUUUUUGUACCAGUACCAUGCUGUUUUGAUUACUGUAGCCUUGUAGUAUAGUUUGAAGUCCAGUAGUGUGAUGCUUCCUGCUGUGUUCUUUUUGCUUAGAAUUGACUUGGUUAUGCGGGCUCUCUUUUGGUUCCAUGUGAAGUUCAUGGUGGUUUUUUCCAGUUCUGUGAAGAAGGUCAUUGGUAGUUUGAUGGGGAUAGCGUUAAAUCUGUAAAUCACUUUGGGCAGUAUGGCCAUUUUCACUAUAUUAAUUCUUCCUAACCCUGAGCAUGGAAUGUUUCUCCAUCUGUUUGUGUCCUCUCUUAUUUCAUUGAGCAGUGGUUUGUAGUUCUCCUCGAAGAGGUCCUUUACAUUCCUUGUGAGUUGUAUUCCUAGGUAUUUUAUUCUCUUUGUAGCAAUUGUGAAUGGCAGUUCAUUCUUGAUUUGGCUCUCUUUAAGUCUGUUAUUGGUGUAUAGGAAUGCUUGUGAUUUUUGCACAUUGAUUUUAUAUCCUGAGACUUUGCUGAAGUUGCUUAUCAGUUUCAGGAGUUUUUGGGCUGAGGCGAUGGGGUCUUCUAGAUAUACUAUCAUGUCAUCUGCAAAUAGAGACAAUUUGGCUUCCACCUUUCUUUUUUGAAUACCCCUUAUUUCUUUUUCUUGCCUGAUUGCUCUGGCUAGAACUUCCAGUACUAUAUUGAAUAGGAGUGGUGAGAGAGGGCAUCCUUGUCUAGUGCCUGAUAUCAAAGGGAGUGCUUCCAGUUUUUGCCCAUUAAGUAUGAUAUUGGCUGUUGGUUUGUCAUAAAUAGCUUUUAUUACUUUGAGAUACGUUCCAUCGAUACUGAGUUUAUUGAGGGUUUUUAGCAUAAAGGGCUGUUGAAUUUUGUCAAAUGCCUUCUUUGCAUCAAUUGAGAUAAUCAUGUGGUUUUUGUUUUUUGUUCUGUUUAUGUGGUGAAUUACGUUUAUAGACUUGCGUAUGUUGAACCAGCCUUGCAUCCCUGGGAUGAAUCCUACUUGAUCAUGAUGGAUAAGUUUUUUGAUGUGCUGUUGCAGUCGGUUUGCCAGUAUUUUAUUGAAGAUUUCUGCAUCUAUGUUCAUCAUGGAUAUUGGCCUGAAGUUUUCUUUUCUUGUUGAGUCUCUGCCAGGUUUUGGUAUCAGGAUGAUGUUGGUCUCAUAAAAUGAUUUGGGAAGGAUUCCUUCUUUUUGAAUCAUUUGGAAUAGUUUCAGAAGGAAUGGUACCAUCUCCUCUUUGUGUGUCUGGUAGAAUUCGGCUGUGAACCCAUCUGGACCUGGGCUUUUUUUGUGUGGUAGGCUCUUAUUUGCUGCCUCGACUUCUGACCUUGUUAUUGGUCUAUUCAUAGUUUUGGCUUCCUCCUGGUUUAGGCUUGGGAGGACACAGGUGUCCAGGAAUUUAUCCAUUUCUUCCAGGUUUACUAGUUUAUGUGCAUAGAGUCGUUUGUAGUCUCUGAUGAUAAUUUGAAUUUCUGUGGAAUCUGUGGUGAUUUCCCCUUUAUCAUUUUUUAUUGCAUCUAUUUGGUUGUUCUCUCUUUUCUUUUUUAUCAGUCUGGCUACUGGUCUGUCUAUUUUGUUGAUCUUUUCAAAAUACCACCUCUUGGAUUUAUUGCUUUUUUGAAGGGUUUGUCGUAUCUCUAUCUCCUUCAGUUCUGCUCUGAUCUUAGUUAUUUCUUGUCUUCUGCUAGGUUUUGAGUUUUUUUGAUCUUGCUCCUCUAGCUCUUUCAAUUUUGAUGGUAGGGUGUCAAUUUUGGAUCUCUCCACUCUUCUCAUGUGGGCACUUAUUGCUAUGUAUUUUCCUCUGGAGACUGCUUUAAAUGUGUCCCAGAGAUUCUGGUAUGUUGUGUCUUCAUUCUCGUUGGUUUUGAAGAACUUCUUUAUUUCUGCCUUUAUUUCAUUGUUUAUCCAAUCAACAUUCAAGAGCCAGUUGUUCAGUUUCCAUGAUGCUGUGUGGUUCUGAGUUAGUUUCUGAAUUCUGAGUUCUAACUUCAUUCACUAUGGUCUGAGAGACUGUUUGUUAUGAUUUCAGUUAUUUUGCAUUUGCUGAGGAGUGCUUUACUUCCAAUUAUGUGGUCAGUUUUAGAGUAGAUGUGAUGUGGUGCUGAGAAGAAUGUAUAUUCUGUGGAUUUGGGGUGGAGAGUUCUGUAAAUGUCUAUCAGGUUUGCUUGUUCCAGAUCUGAGUUCAAGCCCUGGAUAUUCUUGUUAAUUUUCUGUCUGGUUGAUCUGUCUAAUAUUGACAGUGGAGUGUUGAAGUCUCCCACUAUUAUUGUGUGGGAGUCUAAGUCUCUUUGUAAGUCGUUAAGAACUUGCCUUAUAUAUCUGGGUGCUCCUGUAUUGGGUCCAUAUAUAUUUAGGAUCGUUAGCUCUUCUUGUUGUAUCGAUCCUUUUACCAUUAUGUAAUGCCCUUCUUUGUCUCUUUUGAUCUUUGUUGCUUUAAAGUCUAUUUUAUCAGAGACGAGAAUUGCAACUCCUGCUUUUUUUUGCUCUCCAUUUGCUUGGUAAAUCUUCCUCCAUCCCUUUAUUUUGAGCCUUUGUGUAUCCUUGCAUGUGAGAUGGGUUUCCUGGAUACAGCACACCGAUGGGUUUUGGUUUUUUAUCCAAUUUGCCAGUCUGUGUCUUUUGAUUGGUGCAUUUAGCCAUUUACAUUUAUGGUUAAUAUUGUUAUGUGUGAAUUUGAUACUGCCAUUUUGAUGCUAGCUGGCUGUUUUGCCCAUUAGUUGAUACAGAUUCUUCAUUUUGUUGAUGCUCUUUAGCAUUUGGUAUGUUUUUAGAAUGGCUGGUACUGGUUGUUCCUUUCUAUGUGUAGUGCCUCUUUCAAGAGCUCUUGUAAAGCAGACCUGGUGGUGACAAAAUCUCUGAGUACUUGCUUGUUUGCAAAGGAUUUUAUUUUCCCUUCACUUAUGAAGCUCAGUUUGGCUGGAUAUGAAAUUCUGGGUUGAAAGUUCUUUUCUUUAAGGAUGUUGAAUAUUGGCCCCCACUCUCUUCUGGCUUGUAGCAUUUCUGCCGAGAGAUCUGCAGUGAGUCUGAUGGGCUUCCCUUUGUGGGUGACCUGACCUUUCUCUCCGGCUGCCCUUAGUAUUUUCUCCUUCAUUUCAACCCUGGUGAAUCUGACGAUUAUGUGCCUUGGGGUUGCUCUUCUUGUGGAAUAUCUUUGUGGUGUUCUCUGUAUUUCCUGGACUUGAAUAUUGGCCUGCCUUGCUAGGUUGGGGAAAUUUUCCUGGAUAAUAUCCUGAAGAGUAUUUUUCAGCUUGGAUUCAUUCUCUUUGUCACAUUCUGGUACACCUAUCAAACCUAGGUUAGGUCUCUUCACAUAGUCCCACAUUUCUUGGAGACUUUGUUCAUUCCUUCUUGUACUUUUUGCUCUAAUCUUGGUUUCUCGUUUUAUUUCAUUGAGUUGAUCUUCGACUUCUGAUAUUCUUUCUUCUGCUUGGUCAAUUCGGCUGUUGAAACUUGUGCAUGCUUCGCGAAGUUCUCAUGUCGUGUUUUUUAGCUCCUUCAAUUCAUUCAUAUUCCUCUCUAAGUUGUCCAUUCUUGAUAUCAUUUCCUUGAAUCUGUUUUCAAGGUUCUUAGUUUCUUUGCAUUGAUUUAGAACAUGUUCUUUUAGCUCAUGGAAAUUCCUCAUUAUGUACCUUCUGAAGUCUGAUUCCAUCAUUUCAUCACACUCAUUCUCUGUCCAGCUUUGUUCCCUUGCUGGUGAGGAGUUUUUGUCCUUUGUAGGAGGCGAGGUAUUUUGGUUUCGGGUGUUUUCCUCCUUUUUGUGCUGGUGUUUUCCUCCUUUUUGUGCUGGUUUCUUCCCAUAUUUGUGGACUUAUCCACCUGUCGUCUGAGUAGUUGCUGACUUUUCGAUUGGGUCUCUGUGUGGACGCCCAGAUUGUUGAUGAUGAAGUAUUUCUGUUACUUAGUUUUCCUUCUAACAGUCUAGCCCCUCUGCUCUAUGACUGCUGAGGUCCAUUCCAGGCCCUGCUUGUCUGGGGUACGCCUGUAGCAGCUGCGGAACAGUGAGGGAUGCUACCAGUUUCUUCUUCUGCUAUCUUUGUCCCAGAAUGAUGCCCGCCAAAUGUCAGUCUGAUCAAUCCUUUUUGAGGUGACUCUUUGGAUAUACAGGGGUCAGGAAGCUGCUUGAGGAGACGGACUGUACUUUAUAGGAGCUCAAGUGCUGAGCUGUGAGCUCCAUUGUUCAUUCAGGUCUGUUAGGCAGGUGCGUUUAGGUCUGCUGCAGCAGAACUUAUAAAACCCCUUUUUUUCCCUCAGAUGCUCUGUCUCAGGGAGUUAGGGCUUUCUUUAUGAGUGUCCGUUGCACUGUCCUGCCCAGCUAGGAGUCAGUCUAGUCACUAUUUGCCUGCUGAGGCUCCGCCCUGCUGGCGUGGGGUCCAUCCUGUUGCCGUGGGCUCUGCCCUGCUGCUGUGAGCUCCGCCCUAAUGUCGUGGGCUCCACCCUGUUGCCGUGGGCUCUGCCCUGUUGCCUGUGGGCUCUGCCCUGCUGUUGUGGGCUCUGCCCUGUUGGUGGAGUCUCUCUGCAAUGGCGGGUUGCCUCGGCAAUGGCAGGCUGCAUCAGCAAUGGGAGGGUACCUCAUUAGGGGUGGAAUGCCUCGGUAAUGGCGGACGCCCCUCCCCCACCGAGCUGCACCAUCCUGGAUUCAGCUGUGCCCGCAGUGAAACUCUCUACCCCGAGCGUUUCGAAUCGCCAUUUUGUUUGUCCCUGUGGGGGUAGGACCCGCUGAGCCUGAUCAACUGGCUCCCUGCCUCAGAGCCCUUUUUCUCCCUCUUUUUUUUUAAGUUGAAUGGUUGACUCUCUCCCAGAUGUUUUAGUCGCCUGCUGUUAGGGCACCAGGAUCUGUAUGAUUUCCCGUGCAGCGACCCACUGCAUCAGCUCAAAUGUCGCUUCCUGGGAAUCUCUUGGUCUGUCUCACUGUUUAAGUCCUGUUUAAUCAGAUGGAUAUGCUAAUCUGCCCUCCCAAAUCUCAGAUUGCUGGUUUAACAGGGCAUCCAGACCAGCGCGUUUUGUGUGGGGUGUUGCUGCACUGCGGCGCCGGCCGAAAUGGCCCGCGCAAGCCGAGAGGGCUGCACUGGCAUCCCGUGUCUCUCCUACACCUGGGAAUUGCCCUGUUCUGUGGGCAACAAAGAUACAUCUGGAAAUGCGGCUAGGACUCACCCUCUGCACCUUCACUGAAAGCUGCAAUCCUGAGUUGUUCCUACGGUGCCAUCUUGGAAAUCCCCCAUUGGCCAGUGGCCAAAUGUGUGUUGGAUAUCAUAAGUCUAAUCUGUGGUCACAUGACCACACACACACACACACACACACGCCCAUGCGUGCAUGCACACACACACACACACACAGAUAUGGUUUUGCUGUAUCCCCACUCAAAUCUCAUCUUGGAUUGUAGUUCCCAUAAUCCCCAUGUGUCGUGGGAGGGAGCUGGUGGGAGGUGAUUUAAUCAUGGGGGCAUUCACCCUCCUGCUGUUCUCAUGAUAGUGAGUGAGUUCUUUUUAGAUCUGAUGGUUUUAUAAGGGGCUUUUCCCUCUUUGGAUCGGCACUGCUCCAUUCUGCCGCUCUGUAAGGAAGGACAUGUUUAUUUCCUCUUCCGCCAUGAUUUUAAGUUUUCUGAGGUCUUCCCAGCCCUGCAGAACUGAGAGUCAAUUAAGUCUCUUUCCUUUAUAAACUACCCAGUCUUGGGUAUGUCUUUGUUAGCAGUACGAGAACAGAAUAUUUCACACACAGUUAUGAACUGUGAUGAGUGCUGUGAGAGAUCAGAGCCACUACACUGUGGGUCCCCAAGAUCACUGACAGCUUCCAUGAAUGAUUUCAAAUCCUUUACUAGAAGGACUCCCAGAACUCAGAAGACCUGUUAUCCUCAUGAUUAUGGUUUAUUACAACAGAAGGAUUCAGAUUAAAAACUGCAAAAUAAAGGUACAUGGGGCAGGUUCCAGAAUAGGCUUCCAGUUGUCCUCUCCCAGUGGAAUCCUACAAACAUGCCUAAUUCUCCCACCAAUGAUGUGUGACAACAUGUAUAGAGUGUUGCUACCUGUGGAAACUCACCUGAGCCUUGGUGUUCAGGGUUUCAAUUGGAGGUCAGCCACACAGGUGUGGAGUUACCUGACUGACCUUGCUUAGUCACCAGCCCCUGCAGAAGUCAAUGUGAUUAAAGGCUCCCACCAUAAUUACCUGGUUACCUAGACUGUCUAGCCUGGUUUGGCCCAAAUACCCAGCUAUAAAAAGACCGAGUUAGGGAGGAUACUGCAAGAGCUUAGGAUUAAUCUUCCAGGAGUCAGUCAGGUUCUUUCUGUGGAGCACACAUGGGUUUGAACAUCCUAAGUCUGCUGAGUUAGCCCUUUAAUGCACACUAGAAAUCUAUUAGGGAGAACAACAGGGGCCUCGAAGCUUGGAGAUGUAGAGAAGGUGUUGCUUGUUGCUGACCAUUUUGUCUGACCACGCCUGGAUCUGUGCGAGGAAACACACCUGCUGAUCGGGAAUCCCGCACUGGGGAUGUGACACUCACAAAAGGAGUUCAAACUUAAUAACCUUCCAGAGUUGGUAUCAAAUUCAGAUGCUGACACUCCUUGGAGAGGUUCUUUGAGGCAACAGGAUGGAAAGGAUCGCUCUGCUUUUGUUUUUCUCCUGCUGUUCUGUCUGGAAGCCAUGUGAGGAGGAUGUCUGAGUAGCUCUGUGGAGAGGCUCCCAACCGACAGCCAGCAUGAACUUGCUGGUCAUGUGAGCACACCACCUUGGCAGUGGAGCCUCCAGCCCCAGUCAAGCCAUCAGGUGAGACUACAGCCUGGCUUGUAUCUGACCACAGCCUCAUGAACAACGCAGAGCUAGGCCACCAAGAAUCCCAGAGAGAAGAACUGGAAAAACAGCUCUCAGGAUCACACAGGGCACACAGAACCAGUCUGAGAGGCUGCAGCCACAGUUCUAGGCAUCUAUCUGAGAUCAUGCCUGAGGCUCAUGUCCCGUGGAGAUCCCAGGUAGAAAGCUUGAACACCUCAGCCAGUCAAUCCCUUCUGAGCCUUCGGCUGAUGCAGGAGUUGUCCCAGGACACAGCAGGAUGUUUUACACUGGAACUUAUAGCACAGCUCCCUUCCGGUGAGCUACCUUUCGGGCGCUCAGAAGCUACCGUAGCUUACAGCUACUGUAUCAGACAGUGCAGCUCUAUAAAUGAGGACAUGUGCUCGGAAGGCACCUUCUAUAUCUCAUGCUCUGGAAAUACCAAGAUGAACCAUGCGGACCCUGACCUCAUGGAGUUAAGAGUCUAGUGGGGAAAGACAGACAUCAUCAAAUGCCGGCACAAAUAAAG